UACGUAGGCAGCGAGCGUUGUUCGGAGUUACUGGGCGUAAAGCGUGCGUAGGCGGUUUUGUAAGUUUGGUGUGAAAUCUCCCGGCUCAACUGGGAGGGUGCGCCGAAAACUGCAAGGCUGGAGUGUGGGAGAGGUAGGCGGAAUUCCUGGUGUAGCGGUGAAAUGCGUAGAUAUGUGGAGGAACACCGAUGGCGAAGGCAGCCCCCUGGGUUAACACUGACGCUCAGGCACGAAAGCGUGGGGAGCAAACAGG
rnacentral:rRNA from 1 species